rnacentral:lncRNA from 1 species
GCGGAUGCGUCGCCCUUGACGACGGCGGCGUCGAGCUGCUCGAGCGCCUUGUUGUAGUUGGCGACGUAGGUGGCGUGGUGCUUCUGGUGGUGCAGGCGCAUGAUCUCCCCGGAGAUGGCCGGCUCCAGCGCACCGAAGUCGUAGGAGAGGUCGGGGAGGGUGACCGUCGUCACCCCCCUCGCGGACCCCGCCGCCGCCAGAGGCCGGGCGCCGCCGAGGGCGAGGGACAGGGUCUUCUUCGAUGCCAGGGUGCGGAGAGCCAUGGCCGUAUGCUCCGAUUCCUCUCUCUCCCUCUCUCCCUCGUGCGAGCUUUGUGUGCGCCCGUGUGUCCGUGUGUGUGUGACGCUCAAGA